rnacentral:rRNA from 1 species
AGAGGUAAACGGGUGGAGUUGAACUGCAUGCUCCGUGAAUUCAGCUGGUGAGAUUGUUGUGGGCUUGGUCAUGUGGGGUGGACAAUGAGGUAUGCUUAGCUGCAUGUCCCGGCCGACUGGUUGGGAUGCGCGAUACGCUCAUCACGCGUUGCGCGCCUCUGCUGUUCAUCUGCCCUCUCGCCAGUGCAUUUUCGCGGAGUGUUCACCAAGACCGGCGUUGCUGUCUGGCUGCUUUAGUUAAACCGGUCUUACGCGUCCUUGUGGCGUUGUUUGGUCGGGACGGCAGGUAGCCCGUUGGCUUGCUUUGCAUGCUUUCGUGUGUAAUCAGCUGACUAAAGCGGGACUGUGCAGUACGUCGGAGCUGGCGGCCAGUUGUGCCUGCUCGUGCGUCAUGCCUUCCGAAGCAUCCUGUUCUGAUCUCCAUGUUGCCUGUCUCGGCAGGUCUGGUGGUGGACAGGGUUCUAUUGGUUGGUGGUUCCUCGGGUAGCACUUUAUAGAGCCAAUAGUCUUUGGUGUCGUGGUAGACUAUCCACCUGACCCGUCUUGAAACACGGACCAAGGAGAGUAACAUGCGCGCGAGUCAUUGGGCGUAACGAAACCCAAAGGCGCAGUGAAAGUAAAGGUCUGACUUGUUCAGUCUGAGGUGAGAUCCUGUUGUUUCUCAUGCCUGGUACCACCAAGCUUGGAGCGACAGGCGCAUCACCGGCCCGUCCCAUGAUGUAGACACGGUCAUUGUACUCGUGCACCGUCGGGGCGGAGCAUGAGCGCACAUGUUGAGACCCGAAAGAUGGUGAACUAUGCUUGCGCAGGUUGAA